rnacentral:rRNA from 1 species
UACGUAGGGUGCAAGCGUUGUCCGGAAUUAUUGGGCGUAAAGAGCUCGUAGGCGGUCUGUUGCGUCGGCUGUGAAAACCCGGGGCUCAACUCCGGGCCUGCAGCCGAUACGGGCAGACUAGAGUUCGGCAGGGGAGACUGGAAUUCCUGGUGUAGCGGUGAAAUGCGCAGAUAUCAGGAGGAACACCGGUGGCGAAGGCGGAUCUCUGGGCCGUAACUGACGCUGAGGAGCGAAAGCAUGGGGAGCGAACAGG